GGUCCCGUCAUCUAAUGGUUCAGGAUAUGCCCCUUUCACGGGCAAAAUACGGGUUCGAUUCCCGUCGGGACUACCA
rnacentral:tRNA from 1 species